UACGUAUGGUGCAAGCGUUAUCCGGAAUGACUGGGUGUAAAGGGAGCGUAGACGGUUGUUCAAGUCUGAUGUGAAAGCCCUCGGCUUAACUGGGGGAGUGCAUUGGAAACUGAAGGACUAGAGUAUCGGAGAGGCAAGUAGAAUUCCUAGUGUAGCGGUGAAAUGCGUAGAUAUUAGGAGGAACACCAGUGGCGAAGGCGGCUUGCUGGACGAAAACUGACGUUGAGGCUCGAAAGCGUGGGGAGCAAACAGG
rnacentral:rRNA from 1 species